rnacentral:rRNA from 1 species
AUUGAACGCUGGCGGCAGGCCUAACACAUGCAAGUCGAGCGGAGCGGCGGACGGGUGAGUAAUGCCUAGGAAUCUGCCUGGUAGUGGGGGAUCACGUCCGGAAACGGGCGCUAAUACCGCAUACUAUCAGAUGAGCCUAGGUCGGAUUGGCUAGUUGGUGGGGUAAAGCACUACAAAGGCGACGAUCCGUAACUGGUCUGAGAGGAUGAUCAGUCACACUGGAACGUGGACACGGUCCAGACUCCUACGGGAGUCAGCAUUGGGGAAUAUUGGACAAGGUGCGAAAGCCUAAGCCAGCCAUGCCGCGGGUGUGAAGAAGGUCUUCGGAUUGAAAAGCACUUUAAGUUGGGAGGCGUUACCAACAGAAUAAGCACCGGCUAACUUCGUGCCAGCAGCCGCGGUAAUUC